rnacentral:misc_RNA from 1 species
UGCAAGGCCACUAUAGAGGCAAGGUAUACAUCAUCUUUAUAGUGCUAAACAUCAUAAUAUAUAUAUAUAUAAAUAUAUACACUUUUCACUUUUAUAGUUUUUAGAUUUUAUAUUUCAGACUUAAGUCACAAUCAAUAAAUAUUUGAUUCAGGGACCUGCAGGUCCUGGUAACUGACCAUAAAAGCUGUGUGCAGGGAAUAACAAAUAAAAUGGAGAGGUAAAACUGUAAUUAUCAAAUACCUGAAAUCUUAGCAAGCAAAAUGUGUAAAUACACAAUCAAUUAAGCGAUUGAACAUGAUAAAAUAUUAAAUUACAAUAAUUGCUCCAAUCCUCUCCUCUCCUAUCCUAUCCUCUCCUCUCUCUACCCAAAUGAGCAGCGUUGAUUAGAAAAUGAAGUUAAGGUUGAAGGGAGUUAAUCGGUGCAUGCCUCACCUACGUUUGUAGCUGAAAAUGGUCGAUAUGGCCACCCAAAGAUCCUAUCCUAUCACGCGCCACUGAGAAGGAAAAAGUCCUUAAUUAGUGUCCUCGUUGAUGUUCUUUAAGCGUUGUCCUGCCAUCGUUGAUGUCACCAAAGGGCGUUAACACAAGUCAUGAAUAGCAUGAGUUAAAUAAUUACACUUUUAUA